rnacentral:rRNA from 1 species
GACGAACGCUGGCGGCGUGCCUAAUACAUGCAAGUAGAACGCUGAAGGAGGAGCUUGCUCUUCUGUAUGAGUUGCGAACGGGUGAGUAACGCGUAGGUAACCUGCCUGGUAGCGGGGGAUAACUAUUGGAAACGAUAGCUAAUACCGCAUAAGAGUAGAUGUUGCAUGACAUUUGCUUAAAAGGUGCAAUUGCAUCACUACCAGAUGGACCUGCGUUGUAUUAGCUAGUUGGUGGGGUUACGGCUCACCAAGGCGACGAUACAUAGCCGACCUGAGAGGGUGAACCGCCCACCUGGGAACGAGAACCCGGCCAGAAUCCCACGGGAGGGAGCAGUAGGGAAACUUUGGAAAUGGACGGAAGUCCGAACGCGCCAAGGCGCGUGAGUGAAGAAGGUUUUCGGAUCGUAAAACCCUGUUGUAAGAGAAGAACGAGUGUGAGAGUGGAAAGUUCACACUGUGACGGUAUCUUACCAGAAAGGGACGGCUAACUACGUG